rnacentral:lncRNA from 10 species
CUAAGGUCCCAGACCGCGUCGGAGCUUCAUGAUUCCUCUCCUCAGCUGUGCAUGAAUGGGUGGCCGACUCUGGAGCCCAGGCUGUUGCUUCCCAGUCUGGUGAUGAAUCCUCCAUAGUCUGCUGUUGACAGAAGCCAGCCAACUCCAGAAGCUUUAUCAUGACCAGCAACCUCAUACUCAUCAAAUGUGCAUGCUUGAAGUGGAUGGUCACUCCUGUGGAGUUAAAUCCAGGCACAUCCAACUUGUGCCCAACUCAAGAGGUGAGCACAGUCCUUUGACUAAAGAACCCCACUGGAGACUUAGGAGGCCACCAACACGUAUGGAACUUGACAUGGUUUAGCUGUGUCCUCACCCAAAUCUCAUCUUGAAUUGUAGCUCCCAUAAUUCCCAUGUGUUGUGGGAGGGACCUGGUGGGAGAUAAUUGAAUCAUGGGGGCUGUUCUCUUGGUAGUGAAUAAGUCUCACGAGAUCUGAUGGUUUGAUAAGGUGAAACCCCUUUCGCUUGGUUCUCAUUUUCUCUUGUCUGCCGCCAUGUAAGCUGUGCCUUUCGCCUUCUGCCAUGAUUGUGAGGCCUCCCCAGCCACGUGGAACUAGCCGAUAUCCAAAUUGAUUCUGCCUACUUCAGUCUCAAUGUGUGAAAAUGCUGACAGACAGAAACACCUAAGGCCUCAGCUUCCUCAUGAUUCAUGCAACUUAAAGGAGGUUUCAGGUUCCCAUGAGAUAAAACAGAAGCUAAAGCACUUUCCAGGUCAAAGAAGCAAUCACAAGGGAAAUUAGAAAAUAUCAGAGAUGAAUAAAAAACUUUUUG